GCGGGGCUUCCACGGAGGCCUCCGUGUAGGCCGCAGUGAAGCCUGAACUCGAGUAGGGCCCGAGCAAGCCAGGAAGGAGGAGGCAGCCAGAGUGUUCUCUGCAGCAGAAGAUCCCUUGCUGCACUGCUUAACCCAGACCAGCAUUUGCCAGAGAUGGAGAUGAAGGUGAAGAUUAAGUAUUGCAGAACAAAGACUCCAUCUUUUGUUACGCAUGGCUGCUUAUGAGACACUGCAGAGCUGAGUAAUGCUUGAUUAAAGAGCAGAAGGUUGCCGGUUCGAAUCCCCACAGGGCUAUCUGACAUAUAAAGGAUUUUCUAACCAGCUACUCCUUCUAGGGAGACACUUGUGCCUACCAAGAUUAGAUUUGCCCAUCACUAUCGCAACGUUGCAGGCUGGAAAGAAUUUUCCACAGAAAAUGAUGCCCUCCACAGAGUGAAAUCUCCACUUCAGGUCCAACAAGACUUUAUUCUUGAUGUAUGGAUGCCAAAAACAGAAGCCAUGCAUUCAUCUUCCCUACUGUGGCUUUGAGGAGAACUUACCCUUGAUGACAUGAUGACAGUCUGCAUUCUUGCUCCACA